rnacentral:sRNA from 1 species
UAAACGGACGCAAUAACGAUCGGCGCGUG